ACGGCGAGUGAAGCGGCAAAAGCUCAAAUUUUAAAGCUGGCAUCUUCGGUGCCCGCGUUGUAAUUUUGUGAGGCAUCUCCGGGUAGGGCGCCGGCCUAAGUUCCUUGGAACAGGACGUCACAGAGGGUGAGAAUCCCGUGCUUGGCUGGCUGUCCCCGCCCACGUGAGGUGUCUUCGACGAGUCGAGUUGUUUGGGAAUGCAGCUCAAAAUGGGUGGUAAAUUUCAUCUAAAGCUAAAUAUUGGUGGGAGACCGAUAGCGCACAAGUAGAGUGAUCGAAAGAUGAAAAGCACUUUGAAAAUAGAGUUAAAAAGUACGUGAAAUUGUUGAAAGGGAAGCGCUUGAGACCAGACUUCGGUAGGGGGUGAUCAGCCGUCCUUCUGGGCGGUGCACUUGCCCCCCUCCGGGCCAGCAUCGGUUGAGGCGGCGGGAUAAAGGUCCCGGGAAUGUGGCUCCCUCACGGGAGUGUUAUAGCCCGGGUGAACGCCGCCAGCCUCGACCGAGGACCGCGCCCGCAAGGGCUAGGAUGCUUG
rnacentral:rRNA from 1 species